AAAUCAUGUUAGGAGGGCGCUUUCUAAUCAGUUACUUGUACCUCUCCCAUGCUUCAUAGAGGGAUUCACCCUCUUUUUGUCUGAAGGUUUAAACUUCCACCUAAGCUU